CCCACCCGAUCGGUCCCAGCCGCGCCGCGCGUGGCGGGUCUAUCUAACAUAACAAGCUUACUACUCCGCACGCGGCGUACGUGCGCGCUUUCGCGGGCGUGGUAUACGAACGUGCGUGCGUGCGUACGCCCUCGGUGCUCUCCGUUCCUCGGCCGGCGCGGCGCGGCAGGGUUUAGCUCCGCGUGCGCCGAGACGGGCGUGUGCGCGAGGGGAAUCGCUCGC
rnacentral:lncRNA from 1 species